CCUACGGGUGGCAGCAGUGGGGAAUAUUGGACAAUGGGCGAAAGCCUGAUCCAGCCAUGCCGCGUGUGUGAAGAAGGCCUUCGGGUUGUAAAGCACUUUCAGUGGGGAAGAAAGCCUUGGGGCUAAUACCCUCGAGGAAGGACAUCACCCACAGAAGAAGCACCGGCUAACUCCGUGCCAGCAGCCGCGGUAAUACGGAGGGUGCGAGCGUUAAUCGGAAUUACUGGGCGUAAAGCGCGCGUAGGCGGUCUGAUAAGCCGGUUGUGAAAGCCCCGGGCUCAACCUGGGAACGGCAUCCGGAACUGUCAGGCUAGAGUGCAGGAGAGGAAGGUAGAAUUCCCGGUGUAGCGGUGAAAUGCGUAGAGAUCGGGAGGAAUACCAGUGGCGAAGGCGGCCUUCUGGACUGGCACUGACGCUGAGGUGCGAAAGCGUGGGUAGCAAACAGGAUUAGAUACCCUAGUAGUC
rnacentral:rRNA from 1 species